GUCGCAAACUAUGCUUGCUGGCGGGAUCCAUUCACGGUGUUUGUCGUCAUCUUUUAUAUCAAACUGGGCUUCUUUUUGAGUUGUGAGCAGCCAAAUCCACGCACAGUGGCAGCUAGGAUAUGUUUGUUCUUGAUUUUUUACUGAAGAAUCAGGAAAGCGAAAUGAUGUUCGUGAAAUGAAGGCAAAACUAGAAAAUUGCAAAAAAUAUAAUUUUGAAAUGUUGACUUAUAUUAUUAAAUGCUUAUAGGAAUAGCAAACUCUUUAUGUUGUUAAGAAUAUAUUUGUGUCUAGAGGCGAGAUAAUUCAAUUCGAU
rnacentral:misc_RNA from 1 species